UUACGGUCAUAUCACGCUAAAACACUGGUUCUCGUACGAUCACUGAAGGUAAGCAACGUCGAACCUGGUCAUUAUGUAGAUGGGUGCCCGCUUGGGAAUACGACAUGCUGUAAG